UGGCACUGUGGCGGACGCGGCGGGAUAAUUAGACCGUGGACGGGGAUAGGGGAAAGCUGCUGAAGAGGGAAGAUUCUGGUGCAAGGCGGGGAAAGAAAAACAAAAACCACACAUGAAACCACAAACCAAAAAGCUCCAACACAAUCCUUGCCUUAAAACCCGCCGCUUUCUAUACUGCAGGAUUCUGGAAGACCUUUCUGUUUAAUGGGUCAGUAACCCCAGCAACUCAGUUCUCCGAUACUGUGAAUUUCCUUCUAGGGAGCCUGUUUUAUCUGCUCUUUAGCUCCGGUCCUUCCUGUCGGCAUUUAGAGGCCAGAGUUGUUCUAACCUUGAAAUAACUCCUCCAGUCCUCCGAGCUCCAGCUAAUGUUCUCUUUCUCUUUACUUUCAUAGCUACAUGUCUUAUUUAUUUUUGAAAGGCAAAGGUACAGAGAGAAGGGGAGAGGGAGAGACAGGAAAUUUCCAUCCACGAGUUCACUCCUCAAAUGGCCAAAGGCUGGGGCGGGAGCCGGGAGCCAGGAGCCGGAAGCUUCUUCCAGGUCUAUCUACGAGGGUGCAGGGGCCCAAGGACUUGGGCCAUCUUCUGCUGCUUUCCCAGGCCAUAGCGGAGAGCUGGAUAGGAAGUGGAGCAGCCAGGACUGCGACAACACUGCAGGCAGAGGCUUAACUUUCUGUGCCACAGUGCUGACGUCAGGAGGAAGUCAGAACCAACCACGAAGAAAGGUCAUGGAGAGGACAUGCACUGGUGUUCCUGCUGGUCGCCCAGGUGAGGUCCUCGUCAAUGGUCAGCAACAACUGCCAGGUGUUUGAAUGAAGAUGCCCUUGGCUACUUGAAUUGAGGAGAUUCCUGGGAGUAACUUGGAAUGAGAAGAAAACUAGUUAAGGCUGUUGGUUGUUUCAAGUUCAUCACUUUCUUAUUGUUAAAACCAUCAAGAUCACAGAAGGUUUAGAUUUGAAUGGAAGUGCUCUAUCUCUGUCCUCUCAACCAGCUGUUUCAGAGAGCUGAUAAAGAAGUCACUUUUCCCCCAAAGGAAACAAAGAAUGAUCCCAAGAUAAGAGUGAUCUUAGGCUGCCUCAUCUUCCCUGAGGAGAAUGGUGACUGUGUUAGGAAGAUUGGGCCCCUUAUCUCAUUCUUGGGCUUGACCCUCACCUGAGCUCCCAUUGGGCCUUUUCCCCAGUAAUCUUGGCUUCAUUGCCUGUCAGAGUUUAUUUCAGCACCAGUUGUAUAGGAUUUAGGGGAACUUGUUUUUAGGGCUCCAGCUGCAGCCUUAGGAGAAUUUCCAGAGGAGAGGGUCUUGUGUGGUGAAUGGACUCCCAGAUGUCUCAUGCAGGACAGAUGAAUAACUGACAGAGGAGGGAGUGGAAGUAUUUAACCAGAACUCAGUAGAAUUAGUCUGGGUUGGGGUGGAGCAGGUGCAUGAAAAAAUAUCUUUAAGCACUGUCUGGACUACCAGGUGGCACAUGUGUUGUUUGUACAUGUGGUUUAAUGUAGGGUGUAAAAGAGAAGAAGUUGAAUUCUGUGGUCUCUGUCCAGAUGGCACCAGAGUAGCCAGCCAGGUGGUCGCUUGGACAUGGAGGCUGUGAUGCAUGCUGGUGGGGAAGUGUCGCUCCCCCUCUUCGUGGAGGAACGACACAGGACCCUGCGUUGUUCUUUUGUUUGCUCGGCCCUUCCCGGGUUGGCUACCGUCCCUUCCACCUCUGUGGAAGGGCGGUUCCCCCUGCCACUUUCCCCACUUCCGUGGGGGAGCGGCACACCGCCAGCCGGCUCUCUUGGGGGCUGCUCAGAUGUUCCUUCAGAUAGAUGUUCCCGGUGCAUGUUGUCUCUCUCCUCCUUUAUAGUCCUCUUCUGACAAUCCCAACUCUGCUAACCACACGCCGAGUACGCUGCUCUCCUCCAAUCAGGAGCAGGAUCAGCUCCUGCAGGUCAUCACUCAAGUUGGUGAGAGGCAGCUGCGUAGAAGUUGUUACUCCCUUCUCAGCGCCAUAUUGUGGGAGAGCAGAUGCAUAGAAUAAGUCUUAAUUCCAGUAACAGUCUAGUCCGAGUUGCUCCCCACAGGGAAGGACAUGGCUGGGUGAACUAUAAGGCCUCUUGAUGCCUUAGGAGUUACAUCUCCUGGUUGGAUAAGCAUUCGCCUAGCAGCUGAGAGACCAAGGCUCCCCUCUUGGCUCUGGGGGUAACUUGCUGAAAGACCUCAUGGAGUCACUUCCCAGCCUGAGCCUCGGUUUCUUCCUAUUCCAAAGAACGAAAUGGUUCUCUACCAGUGGACUUCAAAAUGUCUACUUUUUAAGAUUGGGGAAUUUUAUUUAUUUAGGUUUUUAUUAAUAUAAAGAAGACAGAUUUUAUGUAGUUCAUAGAUACAGUUCUAAGAAUAUAAUUAUCUUUCUUCCUUUAUUUUUUCUAUUCAUGAUAUAUUUUAAUUUGCUUUAUAAUCACAGGCUUAAUGCUCCACUAAAUAAAGAGUUAAAUAAGUCAAAAGUAGAAAGACCACUGCUCAGCAGGAAUAUAGGCAAGGCUAUAAACUACAAUCAAUUCCAAAGAUGUAAAUUUCACUUAUGCACAUUAAAUAUUUUUGUGCUGUAAUAUUAGCUACCACAAUCAAAGGCCACAAAUGAUAUUUAUCCUUUUGUAUCUGGCUUAUUUCACUAAGUAUAAUGGUCUCUAGUUGCAUUCAUUUUGUUGAGAAAGAUAGAAUUUCAUUACUUUUUACAGCUGAGUAGUAUUCCAUUAUGUAUAUGUACUACAUUUUCUUUAUCCAGUCAUCUGUUGAUGGACAUCUGGGUUGAUUCCAUAUCUUAGCUAUUCUGAGUUGAACUGCUAUAAACAUGGAAGUACAGGUAACUCUUUCAUAUGCUGAUUUCAUUUCCUUUGGGUAGAUUCUCAGGAGUGAGAUGGCUGGGUUAUGUGGUAGGUCUAUUUUUACACUUCUGAGGAAUCUGUAUAUUGUCUUCCAUCAUGGUUGUACCAGUUUACAUUUAAGACCAGGGAGUUUUAUAUUCUGCCUAUACCUUAAAAAGACAGAGAUGUUCUCGUUCAAUUCAAGUGAGUGACUCGGGGACCUAUGGCAGCUCACUUACUGUUCUCUCCCUUUCCAUUUCUGGGGCUCCAGAGAGCACAGCCAUUGAACAAGAGGCUAAAUAAAAAAUGACCUUGCAUUCCAGGGGCAACAAAAUCCACUUCUGGGAUUAUUGUGCUAAUUACAGUGUUAAGUGUACAGUUGUGUGUUUUACAAUUGAGAGAGAUGUUUACUGCUCUAGAAUUAGAAGAUCUUAAAUUUCAGUUGACAUCUAACCCAAGUGUAGGCCUUAUAGGACUCCCAGCACAUGGGACCUGCACCUGUGACUUUCAGAUCAAGUACAUCCCAGUGGGGCAGGGAUCAUGCCUUACUUCAUGCACUGCCAAGUCUCCAGUGUCCAGAACAGGGCCUGAUCUUUGCUAGUUGCUCAAUAUUUAUUUAAGUACCAAUGGUAGGAGCCUAACCUUCCUGUCAUCCUAUAGAGAGAAUCUUUAACUCCAAAGGGGGCAAUGGUCCAGUGGUUGGCAAGAGAGUCUUAUCCUGGGAGCCAAGCUGUGGAUUCCUUGAGAAGAAGUAAGUUACAAAGAGGUUGAGGCCACUGAGUGGCUGGGAAGUAAUUAGUCUCUAAUCCCAGGGCUGGGCUAGCAUGAGAGCUGGACUGAGCCCAUGUGGUGGGCAGUGUGUCUAGAGCUCUGGGGAAGGAUUGACUUCAGCCUCCUGAGUCUGAUUUUGGGUUUCUGAGCUCUAGAACUUUAGAAUAAUACACUUGUGUAUGGGUGUGUGUGUUUUUUUUUUAAUUUAUUUAUUUAGUUGAGAGGCAGAGUUAGAGACAGAGAGAGGGAGAGACUGAUCUUUCAUCUGCUGGUUCACUCUCUAAAUGGCCAGAGUUGAGCUGAUCCAAAACCAGGAGCCAGGAGCUUCUUCUGGGUCUCCCUUGUGGGUACAGGGGCCCAAGAACUUGGGCCAUCUUCCACUGCCUUCCCAGGCCAUCAGCAGGGAACUGGUUUGGAAAAGGAGCAGCUAGGACAUGAACUGGUGCCCAUAUGGGAUGCUGGUACUGAAGGCGGAGACUUAGCUUACUAUACCAUAGCUCUGUUCCCUCCUUGUGCUGUUUUAAGUCAAUUAGAUGCAGUAACAAGAGGAAAAUAAAACAUCUUCUCAUCUCUAUUAGCCUGCUCUCUGACCCAGGGCAUAUGGUGGCUAUGACCAGGAAGAGUUCUGAACCCAUAUUUAAUAACCCUUAGAAGGACUCAGUUUUCCUUUUUGUCUGUGCAUUCACCCUGGCAAAUACCUACAGACUUCUCUGUAGUCAGUGUGGAGAAAAUUUAUAGGAUAUACCUGUGCCCCUUGAAUGCCUGUGCCCUUAUUUCUGCCUCACUUGAGACAGUCUGGAUCUUUUAAUUGACUUAGAGAUAAGGACAUGUUGUCUUCGCUUAGAUUUCUGCCUCUAGUUUUAGAAUUACUUUGUUUAUGUGUGUCAGCAGUACUUUUUCAGUCAACCAUCUGUUUCAUUCCUAGGGACAUUGUACUAACAAUACAAGUGAUGCAUCUCUGGGAUGUCUUUUAGGCAGAAUAAAGUUAAUGCUUCAGAAACAUCCUCCAAAAUAAAAGAAUGGCUCUUUAUUUUGUUAAUAAGAAAAUUUGUUCAAAGCAACAAUGGGUUUCUGCCUUCCUUAUUCCAUCUUCUACAAAUAAGUGUCACCUGUUAGGAAUUCCCUCAAUGGUUAUAAAACAGUGCUGAAUGUGAUAGUAUAAUCUUUAGGCAUGAACUGAUGUGUGAUGCUUUCUCUUGUUUUGCUUUUCUUUGUGGUUGAUUUUUCUUACACCAUUCCUCUAACAGCAUCCACUACUGCUUGUCCCAAUGCUCUAUUUGUUUUAAUUUUAUAAAGUGGAGCCAAUAGUGUUUAAAAAGUCUGUCUCCAUCUUAACAAAAGUUAAGAAGCCCCUGAGCCCCUUCUCAGCUCCAGGGACUUGGUAUGAUCCUAGGAGGUCAACAGGCUGAAAAAGGGUACUUCUAUCCACAGAAUGACUCAGACCUAGCAGUGGCUGUGGGGUAGGGUGCAGUCCUGGCCUUGUAUCCUCAGCAUCACUCUACUCCUGGGGCAAGGCUGUGAAGGUGCCCAUCUCCUUACACUUUCAGUAGCCUUCUUGUCUUUAGGGUCCCCAACACACAGCUAGAUGGACUUGUGUAGCUUAGGAAGACUGCCUGCACUUCUGUUCAAUCUGUACUUCCAGACCCACUUGCUGUGGUGUGACAACAUACUUGCUAAGCUUGUGGAGCAAUGGUCUUCACAACUGCAUUGAAUUGAGCCUUACAUAGCAGCUGGUCCUAAAGGCGACAGAUGGUAAUUCUGGUCUGGCCUUCGUAGUGAUGCUCAGAACAGGGGUGGGAUUUCCUGUACCUCCUCUGCCAGGAGAGCUUCCCAGGCUCCCUUCUGUUGCACUGGGUCCAGGAGAUCAGCCAACUACAGGAGUGGUGGUGGGACUGAGGUUCUCAAUAAGAGGGAUGCUCCCCAGUAACCUUUGUGUGCAUAGCAGAGGUCAGUAGGAUGGUGCUUCAGUACAUGGUGUGUUGACCUUUCACUUAUUAUUAUGGUCCUUGUGGAGAGUGGGUUUGAGAUGACAGUGACUUGAAAAGUGGUUUCCUUUUUGUUGAUGUUGUGGAUGCCCAAGGUUACAGUUAUUAUGUUGUAAAGAAGGUGGACAGGGUUAGUCAGAAUAGCUACAAGUCAGUCUCUAAAGGCAGGCUCAAGUUUCAGCAAGGUAGACCAGAUGCUGAGUCAAAUUGGGAGGAGGGGAUGAGCAAUUGUGUCCUGCCUUGGUCUGAAUGUGCAUAUUCCUGUCCUUUGCUGUGCACAGGUGAACUAGGCCUGGGUCAACAGCAGUUCACCCUGUUACCCAGCCCUUCUCCUAUACACUCAAAUCCUCUAUUUUGGAUGAGCUUGGAGAGUCUCUUGUGUGUCCUUAUUAGCCUUUUACCAUACAUUCAUAGGGGCCUUCCUGAACUCUGGUCUCUUGGCCAGUGAUGGAAAUUCCCAGGAAGACCAAAAACCCUGCUGUUCAUCCCCUUAAUGACAAUAAGCCACAGUCAUCAUGGUGUUAUCUCGCACCAUGAAAACCCCACAGUAUCUCAGGCCUAUUUGACAUUGUAGGAACUUAACGGCUGCCAUGUAGAGCCAGGAGUCUGACCUCUCUGCCCCAUUUGAUCUCUCCUGAAAGAGAAAGGUUGCUCUGCAUCUCUGUGUUCAUAACACAGAGGACAGGCCUGGGGGCAGGACGCAGGAUGUUUAAUGCUGGGAGAGUCUGACUUGGACAUGGAUGGUGAAGAGUACCUUUUGUAGAGAUUGCUACACUUGGAGAUGAGGAUCAUGGGUUCUGUAGGUAGCAUGAUGGCCUUGCAUCAUAACCAAACCUUCUCCCUAUCAAUGUUUUUGUAAACAUGAGGAGUUCAGUGCUAUUCUUUAUCAAACAAGCUUCACAUAUAUGUUAAGCAGAAAAGGAUCUGUGUUCUGUGUAACACUCUUCAGAAGACCUGGAAAAUACUCUCUCUAACCCACCAUGAUUGCCUCUUUGUCCAAAAUAUUUGAGAUCCCAGGAUCCUGCUUGCUUCCAGAUGGGGUUGCUUUCUAAGACCAAACAUGAGGAGCUUUUGGGGAAGACAACUUUGCCUUCUUUCUCCCCUAUUCUGAAUUAGGCACAUAGUAAAUAUCCCACAGCAGCUUUUUGGAUACACAACGAAUAGUCCCCAAAUAGUCUGUCUGGCUUGCUUCUGGGUAUAAGAGUUCCUAACAGAAUCUGAACACCUUCCCCCUUACCCCCUGAUGUAUUGUCCUAAAACUCUGAGCUUUCAGGAUAAGGAGGGAAAGAGACUAGAAGAUUAGAAAUCAGAGUGAGAUGAGGAAAUGGGCCAGAGAGACCUGGUGGGAGCCUGUUUCCAUCAGGGCUGCAGAGAAGGGAUGAGGCUAUGAUCACUCUUGGUAUAAUGCCACCUAAAUCUUAUAGCCACUCAUGGAUGGUUUGGCUGAUUUUAUGUACAGUUGAGAGUUUUAUCAUCUUUUUUUGUGUUAGAGAAGUUUCCCUGAGCUGUCACAGUCUAUCCUGAGCUACCUAUGAUCUCUUGAGGUUCCCCCAUCCCCUGGCCCUGCACCCUGAAUACUCACUCUCUUCCUCUUAGUCUCCUCCUUUCCCAGAUCCUUACCUGCACUCUCUCUCAUGACCUCUAUUUACUUUCUCUGCUUCUGUACGCUGGCAGAGUGCAUUCUGCGACCAGAGUUGUCUGCCUUAGCUGUGGAAUUGCAAGUUUUUCUUGUGUGUUUUAUUCUAACGAAUCCACAACUGCUUUCAGCCCCUAAAUGAAAUGAGAAGGGCACUGGAUGCAAAGAUGUCUCUAGUUGGAAAGGUUUGCCCAGGACUGUCAUGGUGUUCGCAUUGAAUGCUCUGCUUCUAGGAACUCUGCAAGGAAGCACAAACUCCCAGCUUUAUUGGUUGGUGUGAAGAUUGAAGGAAAGUAUAAAAAAGUCUGUAGCUGCCCAGUUGGAAGCACAGUGCUUGAUGUCAGUAUUUAUGCAUAGAUGAUCACCUUCCAUAUUCACUGUGGCUAUUUUUGCCCUGAAAACAAAUCAUAGUGGCUGUGAUUUGUGGCAUUGAUGUGUGUGCUGAGACUGGGCAACACAGAUACUUUUACAUUUUAUUUAUUUAGUAGGUGGGGGGAGAGGAUUCUCCCAUUAAGUAACUCAAUUGCCAAAUGUCCACAAUAGCUCUGGUUGCACCAAGGGUGAAGCUGGGAGCUGGAGAUUCAAUCCAAGUCUCUCAUAUGAUGGAACUCAACUGCUUGAGCCUUCAUCUGCUGCCUCCCAGGCUCUGCAUUAAUAGGAAGCUGGAAUCAAAAACUGGAGCUGAAUAUCAAACCCAGGUACUCCAGUGAGUGAUGUAGGCUUCCAACUGGUAACUUAGUCACAAGGCCAAAUGGCUACCCUCAUAGAUACUUUUUUAAAAAAGAUUUAUUUUUAUUUAUUUGAAAGACAGAGUUACAGAGAGAGGUAGCGACACAGAGAGAAAGGUCUGGUCUUCCAACCGUUGGUUCACUCCCCAGAUGGCUACAAUGGCUGGAGCUGUGCCGAUCUGAAGCUAGGAGCCAGGAGCUUCUUCCAGGUCUCCCACAUGGGUGCAGGGGCCCAAGGACUCAAGCCAUCCACUGAUGAUUUCCCAGGUGCAUUAGGAGGGAGAUGGAUUAGAAGUGGAACAAUCAGGACUCGAACCGACGCCCAUAUGGGAUGCCAGCGCUGUAAGCCAGGGGGCUUUAACCCACUCUGCCACUGCGCCGGCCCCACAAAUACUUUUUAAUUGUAUAUAUUAUAGACUGUUUUGAACUUGUUUGUGGAUUAACGUUUCUGCUUUGUGUUGAGAUAGUGCUUAAUUUUAUCAUUAUGAAAUUGGUGACCAUAUUAAGAGCUAAGAAGAUGACAAUGAUAAUGACAAAAAUGCCAAUACCAGCACAAGUCAGACAUCACUCAAAAGAAGACCAGAAGACUGUGUUAUGUCAAUGAGAGAUGCAAGCACAACUUGGAUUGGGAAGUCAAUAAUGAAACAAGAGCAAACCAUACAACAUGUAGACAAGUGUACCACAUAGACACACAGCACCCCCGUACAGUUCUCUGAGCUGAGCAGUUUCAUUUCCUCAAGUAGACACUGUGAUAAAAAUGUUCUGUGGGUGAACAAGAUGGUAGAUUUUGAAGACAGAUGUGUUGACAACUUUCAGUGGACAUAAUCCAAUUAGAUGUCACAAAAAACCAUGCUCUCUACAGCAUGUCAAGUCAUGCAUCGAUUUGGCAUUUAAAAUGUGCCCUGAAUAGCACUUUGGAAUAUGCAAUGAAAAUUUGAGUUUGAAAUUCAAUGGAAAUUUUAAUAAACUAUGGAAAAGAUAAAAAUAGAUCAAAUACCCCAAAUGUAAUAUUGCUUUGGCCACAUGUCUAUAUAUUCCACAGAAGAUGCAAAUGUAAAUUUUGGCAAGCUCCACCCAGUCCAUGAACUUCUUACCACAGAACAUAAUGAUAACAUGUAUGUGCCCUGCACACUUCGUCCACAGCACUGCUACAGCGUGGAUUGAUGUGUUUACUUGUGAUUUUGAAGCUUUCCCAUGAAAAAUGACCACUUUUCUCUCUUUCUUUAAGUUUUUAAGCUUUUUAUUUAGUGAAAGAAAUGCAUAGGAGAGUGAGGGACCUACCUAAAAGAGAGAGGGAGAUCUGAAUCCAUACCGGGCAUUAGGAGCCAUCCAUGUGGAGAGCAUGCAGACCAGAAAACACAGAGUGGGUGGCCCGAAGGCUGGGAAGGCCACAUGCCCCGAAGGCACGGGGACGAAGGGGCAGGCCCACUGUGUUCCAGGCCUUUAAUCCACUUCCAAAGUGGAGUGGUUAAUUACUCUGAUUGGCAGGUAGGCACACAGGUGCCCACUUCUCUUAGAAUGUGAAGGGAACCUAAUGAGGCUUCUGACUUUAAAGGAAUGAGAUGAGCCUGCCAAAUGCUUUCGUCAAGGGAGAGAAUAGAGAAAGGGAAAUACCGAGAGAGUGAUUGCUGUUCCUUCUAACUCUCUGAUGAUCUGGAAGAGUCAACAAAACCUGCAAGAGGAUGAACUGACUGCAUCUGCGCUUAGUACUGUAGGCAGGUUGGCAAAGGCCCAUGCCGGGACAAAGUCUGCCUGUGGUCUAAAAAAUGUGUCACCAGGAGAGGGCAGCCGUGAGAAACAAGCCUUUCUUAUUUGUUCUGUAAACUGUAGUUUAUUCAGGAUACAGUUUAAAUUCUUCCUCUGCUUUACGGCCACUGUUUUCACAUACAGUAAAAUUCCAUGUGCUUUGGAGUGUUUGAAGAUACAGAACCUGUAGAGUGAAUCUGCAGAUGCCCAGAACCUGACUGACAAGCAACUGGUCUACCAGGGUAGUCUGCAGACACAAGGUAGAUGGGCAGUGCUGGAGAGCUGUGAUCUGCAAGUGAAAAACCAGCUGUAAUUAGCAAGUAAAAGCCUAAGCAUUGCAUGUUCUGACCCUUUAGUUGAGAGGAUAUCCUGUGAUGGUGGGAUUGCCUGUAACAGGGCUUGGUAAGAGCAUUGCUGCAAGUCAAAGUGAAUCUGACUCUUAACUGUGUUCAGUUUUCUCACUACCUUUGAGGAAAAAAUUUGUCUAGGCAUGUAUUUUAGCAUUGAAUUAUUGAACAAGGAAAUGGAAAAGCAAAACUUUUCUAGUGUAUCACGAGA